rnacentral:lncRNA from 10 species
GUUUGUCUCUGGGAAAGGCAAAGGCAAGAGUGCCUUCCUUCCCAUAACUGAGCUUUUCUGGGAGGAGGAGGGCUCUGCGCUCAGGGAUCCACCCCCUUGAGGGCCCCCUCAGGGCCCUGAGGCUCAGAGUGGGAGACAUGCCCGGACACACAGAGCCCACUGAAGCUGCAAGCCCGGCCAGCCCUUGGCUGGCUUGAAGGGAGCAGCGUGUACUUGGCAGCUGGGCGCCCCCCGCAUGGGGAAAGGGGAUCUGAUGAAUGACCCACGCCUCCAUGAGAAAUAGGUUAAUGCAUCAUCUCACCCGGGUAUUGGCAUUCUCGUAGAGGAGCGGAAGACAGGAAAAGCCUCUGAGAGUGAACCUCCAGCUUUGAUUGUCGGAAGGAUGAACGGGGACCUCUGGCCUCACCCUUCCGGGAGCCCCUCUCCAGCCCUGGAUCUGGGUAGGAGGAGCACUGCAAGCUCCCAGAUUGGGCUGAGUGGGGCCAGGUCCUUCCUGCUGUCUUCGCUGUCUGAGAUUCACUGCACCGGGCUCCCCUGCCCUCUGCAAGUUCUGAGCAGGCCUCCGGCGUUGGUACUGAAGUUCAAGCUCUAACACUUCCUGCCUCCAAUCAGCAGCCUGAAAACCUUCCUUCUUUCACUGGGCUUCCCGCUAAAGCCCAGCUCUCGAGUUAGCUGGGUUGGCCAUCAAGAGGCUACGUGGACCCUUCUGCCUAGCACUCCAUAAUCGUAUUUGGUGAGUGUCUGUGUCAGGCACUGUACUAGGGGCAGAGGCUUAGGAAUAGGGAAGGCGAGCCAUCAGAUGACCAUGUCAAGUGAAAAACAGUGUGUGGUGUGAAUGUGGGAAGAACACACUCACUUCUACCUAGAGGGGUUGAGGAAAGCAUCUCAGGCAGUUCUAGCUGCCUGGCAGCAUCCUGGGAGAAGCACCCUAUGAAUGACACACGCCUGUCAGAGGCCUGCGGGAUGCAGGGUAAGGGGGUGGGGUGAGGGUUAUUCAGCAACAGGAACCCCAAGGUGAGACACAGUGUGGGGCUGUGAAGGACUGGGGCCACGUGCCCACAGCAGGAUACGGCAGGACACCAUUAGAAGGGUCUCUUUAGAUCCCAUCCCAGAGGCAGAGAAGGGCUGCAGGGUUAUAGGGUCUUGACACUGGGGAAACUCACUUCUUAUCCAUCUGCAAACCCCGUCAGUGCCACCUCCCAAAUCAAGCUGAGCACGACAUCCCUUGACCUCACACUGGUCAUUGCCCUGUCAGGGCCAGUAUCCUCUGUGGAAUGGUGUGUACAGUGCCCAUCUGGCCUUUCUGCUCUGGCCCUGCCCUCCUGCAGCUCAGAGGGGCCCUUGGAAAGCCAAGGCAGCUGUGCUUUCCUGCAGCUUGGCACCCUCCAAGGGCCCCACCUCAUUUACAGUAAAGUCAAAAAAUGAGGUCCUGAGGUGCACCAGUCCUGCACCACAGGCCCCUGCCACCCCCACUCCUAGGUCCUAUCCCUGACCUCUGGCCUCUCUUCAGCAGCAACAGCCCCAGCUCUUCCCAGACAAACUGCACCAGCUCCUCCCUUGGGGACACUGCACUGGCUGAUUUAGCCAUGGAGAUGCCCAACAGUUGUAAUGAUGCCCCUACCUCCUUCCAGUCUUGGAUGUAGUGUCACCUUCCUGGUCUGUGGUGGGCACUCUGUGGGGGUCCCCAUGGCUCCUGCCUCCUGUGUUCAGAUCCUGGUGUAACCCAGCCCUCUGGUGUGACACGGCCUGUGUCUUGCUUCCACCCUAUAGAGUGGGCUGGCUGUGAUGUCGUGCCACACUUGUGAGUGCAUGAUGUCAUGAAAGACUGCAUUUUCCCAGCAGACUCACUCUAGGGAAGUGACCACCUGGAGCAAGUUUGCUGGAAAAACAGAAUCUUUGAUAACAUCAUGAAUAACUUUGAAUAACCAAGUUAUCCCCAUAUAGAAGGAAAUUCUGCCAACAGCCUGAGUGGGCUUGGAAGGGGAUUCUUCCCCAGUCAAGCCUCCAGAUGAGAACACAGCCCGACUGACAUCUGGAUGCUGUUUCAUGUAAGCCUAGGCAGAAAACCCAGCCAGCUUGACCAGACUCCUGAUGGCAGGACAAUGAGUUCAUAAGACGGCUCUUUCCAGCUGCUGAGUUUGUGAUAAUUUGCUUCACAGCAAUAAAAACAUUCUAUGCAUCUCAU